GUGACAACUUCCCGACAGGAUGGGACACCAUCCGAAGGAUGCUAUCCGAUGAGUCGAGGGAGGCAUCCUCCUUCGAUGAAAGAUGCCCUCUAUUUAUAAGCUAUCACCUGUCGAUGGUCUGCGUCUGAUUAGCUGGUUGGUGAGGUAACGGCUCACCAAGGCGACGAUCAGUAGCCGGUCUGAGAGGAUGAACGGCCACAUUGGGACUGAGACACGGCCCAGACUCCUACGGGAGGCAGCAGUGGGGAAUCUUCCGCAAUGGGCGCAAGCCUGACGGAGCAACGCCGCGUGAGUGAAGAAGGUCUUUCGGAUCGUAAAGCCUCUUGUUGACGGGGACGAACGUGCGAGAGGUGAAUAAACUCUUGCAAUGACGUACCU
rnacentral:rRNA from 1 species